rnacentral:rRNA from 1 species
AGCGCUGAAAGCAUCUAAGCGCGAAGCUGGCCCCGAGAUGAGUCAUCCCUAGAGCCUCGAGCUCUCUAAAGGGUUGUUCUAGACGAGAACGUUGAUAGGCAGGGUGUGUAAGCGCUGUGAGGCGUUGAGCUAACCUGUACUAAUGGCCCGUGAGGCUUAACCAUACAACACCCAAGCGGUU